ensembl:lncRNA
AUGAACAAAGACGAAACAUCAAGGAACAGAUGUCCGGUGCCACUGAAAUACGCACAGACCACAGCUGCCCACCCGCCAAGAGACCCUCACAGACUUGCUGGUCACAGGACAGACUCCGCUGUGCUCCCCGGACCGGCCACGGCCUUUGAGCACACACGACGUUCACACCCCCCCCACCAGGACAGACCGUCCCUCAAGGGCCCCGUUUGGUUCAGACACAGAGAUGCCGCAGCCAGAAGGGUUGAGGGGCCGCAGAUGGUGCAAAUCCUUGGAGUCGAGCAGCGUGCCAGGCGACACGGGAACACGGCACUGUUAGCUGGCCUCACUGAGGCUUGGAGUCCUUUGACGUUAGCAUCACGCUGUACUGAAGAGAGCAACACACAGAAAACGCGGGUACAGAAUGACAGAUGCCACACGGCCGGAGCUGUAACCCGGUCCCGAAGCCGCUCUGAGCGUCCAGAAUGACGGAGCCCCGCAGCACAGCACCACGCGGCACGUCAGGACACACUCGUCACAAUAAUUAUAAUAAUGCAACUUUCAUAGCUACACGCAAAGAACGACACGGCUGUAAAAACCACAGUGGUGGUACGUCCCAGGUCAGGAGGACAGCCCAGCAUCACAGGCGCAGGGAGGAGGAGGCGGACGUGACCCGGGCCUCGGGGAUGCCGGGCUGCACGCACGAACGCGGCCCGGAGCCCAUCCCGCCGGGCCCGUUUGGGGAUCCCGUCCGCGUGUCUGUUCGCCGAAGCAGGAGGCCGCGGGCCAGACGGGGCCUGACCGCCUGGUCUACACAUGGCUAAGAGAAGCAUGAGGUAUCGUGAAACAGGAACCUUUUUGGAAUAGAGCAGUAAUCACAUUAAGUCAAAAUUGAUCACAUAAAAAAAAAAUCUACAAAAAAAAAGGCAUCCUUAAUACAUUUUUCUAUGAGAAAAUUAAAACUAGAACAUGGCAGUAUAUGACAUCGUAAAACAAAACAAAACAAACUGAUCCUCCAAUAGCAGCAAAACAAUGUGAAAGAGACACAGAAAAGCAACGUGAAUCUGUUUCCAAACCGGGUGCUGGGAAGUCAUCGGUAGCAGCGAAUCAGGAAGCGGAGCGGCAGCCUGCCCGUCGCGUGGUCCCGCCCUCAGCCCUCCGCGCGCACACACACCUCGCGCCCUCGCCAAGCACCAGCCCUGUGCUCUCGCUACCUCCCGACACUCCCUACGCAGUCGUUACAAAAAAGGUACACAGCCAAGAUGUGCAAAUUGUCUACGGGUUGCUAACCUUUCUUAAAAGGAGGGGAUGAGGGGACAAGAAUGUGGGGGGGGGGGCUGAACUGGUUUCGAGUACCCUAAUUUUCCGCCUAACUGAUGCCUCUCGGAUCGGGUUCCCGCCCUGGGAACCAAACGGCACAAUCCGUGCUGUGUUUUUUUUCCUCAGGACUUUUGUUCUCUCUCCUAUAAAAAAGGACCUAAUGGUUGUACACUGUAUGAAACCCAUAACACCAAAGGCAGAAAGUUGUGUGUGUGUGUGUGUGUGUGUGUUUAAAUCAAGGGGAGAUUACAUUACUUUAUAAAUCAUACUGGCCUUACGAACAUCCUCUGCAAUAAAUAUUCUUUUUAGCCUUAACUAUAAAUUAUA